rnacentral:rRNA from 1 species
CAGUAGCCGCGGUAAUACGAAGGGUGCAAGCGUUACUCGGAAUUACUGGGCGUAAAGCGUGCGUAGGUGGUUGUUUAAGUCUGCUGUGAAAGCCCUGGGCUCAACCUGGGAAUUGCAGUGGAUACUGGGCGACUAGAGUAAGGUAGAGGAUAGUGGAAUUUCCGGUGUAGCAGUGAAAUGCGUAGAGAUCGGAAGGAACAUCUGUGGCGAAGGCGACUAUCUGGGCCAUUACUGACACUGAGGCACGAAAGCGUGGGGAGCAAACAGGAUUAGAUACCCCAGUAGUCCCUGUCUCUUAUAC